AGGAGGCGCACAUUCAGGCAUGCUCACAAUACUCACGCGCACAAUUUAGGCAUGCUAUACCAUACUAGAUUUAGAAGCUGGUUAAAUAUAUGGUGAUGUCGACGUAGUCGAAGAAGAGAGCGAAGAAUCAAAAUGGCAGGACCGAAUUUCUUCAGGUUUCGACCGACUAGUUGCAUUCGCCUCUACGGAAUUGGAUAAACGCCGUAGAUCUACCGAAGGAACUGAUAGUUGCAAUACGUCACCUGAUUCUGGUAUCGGCCAUGGACAUGGAGACAUUCCCCCAAGUACCAUAGUUCCCCCCACGAAGCAACAUUUAAAACUUAACCCCAACACUAAACCAACUCUUUUCAAAAUGCCUACAAGUAAGACGUACCUUGAUUCGCCGCCUAUUUUAGAUCAAGGUACUGACGAGUUAGGCCCUCCCCGUACCCCAUCACCCUCUUCCCCCAUCCGAUCUAAUAGCUUAUCAAUAAACUUCAGCCCUGAACCAGUACCUGUAGAUAGAAGUCCCACUAGGCUGAAUCCGGCUCUGUUGAAAUACCAGAGGUAUCCAGAGGACAAGAAG
rnacentral:misc_RNA from 1 species